AACCUAGAUGUAUUAUUACACACACAUCCGCCCGGGUACUACGAGCACAGCUUAAAACCCAAAGGACUUGGCGGUGUCUCAGACCCACCUAGAGGAGCCUGUUCUAGAACCGAUAACCCCCGUUAAACCUCACCACUUCUUGUUUUUCCCGCCUAUAUACCGCCGUCGUCAGCUUACCCUGUGAAGGCCUAAUAGUAAGCAAAAUGGGCCCACCCAAAAACGUCAGGUCGAGGUGUAGCGUACGAAGUGGGAAGAAAUGGGCUACAUUUUCUACAAAACAGAAUAUUACGAAUGGCACAUUGAAAUAUGAUACCUGAAGGUGGAUUUAGUAGUAAAAAGCAAAUAGAGCGUACUUUUGAAUUAGGCUCUGAGACGCGCACACACCGCCCGUCACUCUCCCCAACACAAACAAACCAAUAAACAUCCCUAAUAAUCCACUUAUUAGUACGGGGAGGCAAGUCGUAACAUGGUAAGUGUACCGGAAGGUGCACUUGGAAUAAU
rnacentral:rRNA from 1 species